rnacentral:rRNA from 1 species
UCAAAUUUAAAAUCUGGCGACCUUUGGCCGUCCGAGUUGUAAUUUAGAGAAGCGUCUUCCGCACCAUACCGUGCAAAAGUCUCCUGGAAUGGAGCGUCAUAGAGGGUGAGAAUCCCGUCUUUGGCACGGACGCUUGGUGCUUCUGUGAUGCGCUCUCGAAGAGUCGAGUUGUUUGGGAAUGCAGCUCAAAAUGGGUGGUGAACUCCAUCUAAAGCUAAAUAUUGGCGAGAGACCGAUAGCGAACAAGUACCGUGAGGGAAAGAUGAAAAGCACUUUGGAAAGAGAGUGAAACAGUACGUGAAAUUGUUGAAAGGGAAACGCUUGAAGUCAGUCGCGUUGACCAAGACUCAACCUUGCUUCGGCUUGGUGUUCUUCUUGGCUUAACGGGCCAGCAUCAAUUUUGCCUCUUGGAUAAUGGCAAGGGAAAGGUGGCACCUUUACGGGUGUGUUAUAGUCUUUUGUCGCAUGCGAGGGGUGGGAUUGAGGAACUCAGCACGCGCCUCUUGGUGUCGGGGUUUCGGCCCACGAUACGUGCUUAGGAUGUUGGCGUAAUGGCUUUAAACGACCCGUCUUGAAACACGGACCAAGGAGUCUAACAUGCCCGCGAGUGUUCGGGUGGAAAACCCGUGCGCGUAAUGAAAGUAAAAGUUGGGACCUCUGUCGUGGAGGGCACCGACGCCCGGACCAGACCUUCUGUGACGGAUCUGCGGUAGAGCGUGUAUGUUGGGACCCGAAAGAUGGUGAACUAUGCCUGAAUAGGGUGAAGCCAGAGGAAACUCUGGUGGAGGCUCGUAGCGAUUCUGACGUG